GCAGCACCAUGGUGGCAUCUUUGGGGUGUUCCAGUGAGAUCUCAGUGCAGCAGGCGACUCCACGACAAGACGCACGACCGGCACGUGUAGACAGCACCUCUGGUGGUUGAUUCGUGACGAUUCCUUUAUUAUGGUGACGUUUGGCAGUGAUCCACACCUAAGUGAAAACCUCCUUUGAGUUACCCACCCUUCUUGCAUUGUUUUGACAUGGACCCACUCAUAUUCGGACUCAAAUCAGCUUUAUCCAUCGGUUUUUGGCAUCGGGCCAGCAAGUCUAAGGCCUUUCGAUCUUGGUUUUGAGAGCCCGAACCUCCUCAACGUUGACCCACCCCUAACCCAAGAGGUUUUAGUAUGAGUUAGUAGUUUUUGCAGAUAACGGGUUAACUCUUGGAAUGGUGAUGGCAAGGAGGAGACUCGAGAAGAAGACCAUGACUAGCUUCCGUUUAGUUUUAUUGAAUUUAGGAUAGGUUGUCAGGAGUUUAUCCUAUUCCAGUUAAUGUACUUUGUUUAGAUAAUAAUUUGUGCGAAGUUCAGACCGUUGGUAGAUGUUUUAGAUCAUUCAUUUACUAGUUUGGUUUUUGUUAAAAUUAGGUCGUCGUUUAAUUUGUGAAUUUUAUUUAAGCUGGGUUUGUCCCUUAAUUUGUUGUUUAUAAAAGAUUGUAACUUUGAUGAUUUUCAUGUGUUGGUUAGUUUGUUUAAACUUUUAUAAGUGUUGUUAAUCAGAGUGGCGCAGCAGAAGCGUGGUGAGAA